AACAUGUGUUUAAUUGCUAUUGGGCAGAGGAAAAGUUUCUCUCUCCCUCGACGAAGAACGACGAUUUCUUCUGGUGCUUCCACCGUUUCUCAACUUUCUUCUCAGAAGCCGCCGACGGAGUUGUGUCGCGACCUGCUCGGACCUCGUUUCAGGCUGUCUCUGACUGCCUUCGCCUGCUCCGCCGCUUCUUCCGUCGUUAAGCAAGACUCUCUUCACGAUCAGGUAAUCUGGCGGAAGCUUGGGGUUUGAUUAGAAAACAUUCGUUGAUCCAACUUUCAAUCAUCAGGAAAACGAUGGUGGAGAUGUUUCCUUUAAGAUCAGCAUAUGCUGCUUAUGGAAAGAUCAAAGCUAAGCUCUUUACUCUUGGUGAUCCUUUUACUCGGAUCAUUAGUCCAAGGGUAUCUGCAAGAGUAGGAAAGUUUCAGAAUUGGUAGUGAUUGAAAUCUACAAGGUAUUGGUCUUUUCAUAAACUCAGAACCAAGAACAUGUCACUUGGUUAGUGACAAACACAUCUUGGCCACAGGAGCUAGGCCAUAUUCUGGCAAAGUUGGUGUGGAAGAUGUCGAUAGAGUUGACAUGGCUUAUAGAGUGGUUGCGGAUCAUAUUAGGACGCUCUCAUGGCUCUUGUCCUGGUAUGUCUCGAAAUCCACUUAAUGACUGUGUGGUGAGUGUCUUUCAUGUAUGUAGCGAAUCACAAGGUUCCAAAACCAGCAGCUGAUGCAAAGCAUGAGGUGCAGAAGGAAGCUCUUUUCCUAGAGGUUUUUCUCUUGACUUUAAUUUUUUUUUUUUAAAACCUUGAUUAAGAAACUAGCAUUGGAGCACAAAAUCUAGAUGUCUCUUAAUUAAAGUUUUUAUCAACAUUUAAUUACUAUAAUAGUCACUAAGAGACCCAAAUGAGUUUGUGGGUUAAUGAUGCUCUAAGUAUAUCCGAUCCACAUGUUUUCUUUCAAAUAAAGGUGCCAUUUUAAGAAGUCGCUCCAAAUCGUGUUUCUUGCUAAUUUGGCGGUGCAAGUUUUGCUUCUUUCGUUUCCUCCUGUAACGAACAAACUUUAUUCUCCUUUUUGGUUUUGAACUUUUUGACUAGAGACAAGAGUGAGACUCGAACUAUUUCCGAAUUAUAUC